rnacentral:snoRNA from 1 species
UUGAAUGUGGAAAUGUCUGAUCCUUUACAAGCAGGAAUAUAUCUAUAAUAUGCAACAUUAGAAAGGGAAUUCUCAGGGCUGCCAACCUUAUAGAAGAGGUUGAGUGAUAGUAUAUUUCUCCUACAUUA